UAUAAACCUAAGUACAUUCUAAAGGCUAUUGAACAUUUUUUAGUUCAGUUGUGUAUUUCAACGUCAAACAAAAAAAUGAUGAAAUUGAUUCUUUUUUUAAUUCUGGCAUUUUUGCCUGUAAUGUGGUUUGCAAGUGACGAGAAUGUUUCUGAUCCCGCCCCUGUUACGUUUCCAGAAGAUCUAGACCCCUGAGGCAUAACUUUUUUCCAAUGUGUUAACACCAAUAAAACACUGAAUAGGUCAAAA